rnacentral:rRNA from 1 species
UACGGGGGGGGCUAGCGUUGUUCGGAAUUACUGGGCGUAAAGCGCACGUAGGCGGCUUUGCAAGUUAGAGGUGAAAGCCCGGGGCUCAACUCCGGAAUUGCCUUUAAAACUGCAUCGCUAGAAUUGUGGAGAGGUAAGUGGAAUUCCGAGUGUAGAGGUGAAAUUCGUAGAUAUUCGGAAGAACACCAGUGGCGAAGGCGACUUCCUGGACACAUAUUGACGCUGAGGUGCGAAAGCGUGGGGAGCAAACAGG